UUCCGACCAACGAAGUCCCAAGUCCGAAAGAGACUGACCUUCCUCUCAACGCCUAUAUGCUUCACAACCUCGCUCACAUCGAGCUCAACGCUAUCGACUUGGCGUGGGACACUGUUGCUCGCUUCUCCCCUUUCUUCGACGUUUUGGGUCGCAAGUUCUUCGAUGACUUCGCUCAUGUUGCUGAUGAUGAGAGUCGGCACUUCAUGUGGUGUUCGCAGAGACUCGCUGAGCUUGGUUUCAAGUUAAGUCAUAAAGUUUCAAACUUUGUUUUCAAGACAACACCUUUUUCAAAGUCGUCUUCUUGUCUGAAGGUAUGGAGAUAUGCCGGCUAAUAAUUUGUUGAUGAGAGAAUGCGAGAAUACAUCUAAUAAUGUCGCUGCUCGGUUAGCUGUUAUCCCUCUUGUUCAGGUAAGUGAUUCUCAUUCAAAGUUUACACCGUUUUAUACUCUAGUUUUGGCUAAAAGCACUAAUAUUAAGAAAGUGAUUAUUUGUUAAAAAAUAUCAUUUAAUAUAUAACUUCAACCAAUUAUAAAAAAAUCUACACAAUAUUCAAUAAAUACAAAAAAAUUGCAUUGAAAUGUUAAAACUACUUAUAUUGUGAAACAAAUUUUUUUUUUUGGUUAAAACUAUUUAUAAUAUGAAACGGAGGAGGUACAAGAUUAAGGAAGCUUUGAAUGCAUUUCGUUUUAGCUGAAUAAUAUUAGCAUUAAACUCAUGCUAGUUUAGCAUUACAGGAGGCUAGAGGGCUUGAUGCUGGACCUAGGUUGGUCAAAAGGCUGAUGGGAUUUGGAGAUCACAGGACUUCGAAUAUUGUGGCUAAGAUUGCUGAGGAGGAAAUUGCACAUGUAGCUGUUGGUGUAGACUGGUUUCUCUCUGUUUGUCAAAAGAUGAACCGUGCUCCUUGCCCUACUUUUAAAGGUACAGACAUACAACUCUUCUCUUACAUGCUUACUUGCUCAUUUUAUACAAUCGUCAUGAGUAUCUUUCCACCCCAUGUGCUGUGCAGAUUUGAUCAAAGAGUAUGGUGCUGAGUUAAGAGGACCUUUUAACCAUUCAGCUCGGGAGAUAGCUGGCAUUCCGCGAGAUUGGUAAAGAAACUCAUCCCAGCAAGACUUUUUUUAAUAAAAACUAGCUCAUCCAACUGCCUUUUUCUAUAUGGUUGCACUAAGGAACAUUUCAGUUUAGCGUAAUACAUUAGAUUAUUUCAUGUAUCUUUAGGUAUGAUCCCUCAUGUGGCACCGAAGUUGAUGAAGGCAGCAACAAACAGGGUGACAAGGAGCAACUUUCUGCGGUAUGUUCAUUUUUGUUCAUGUUCUUGGUGAAGUUUUUAUCUUACAUCGAAGUUUUAUCAUGACAGGUGUACGACAGGCUCACUCACAUAAUCUCAAUGGAGAGUGAGAACUCAAGUCUCGAAAGACCAUCCAGGGCGUAACUUAUUGGGCUCUGGAAGUAGAGAUUAGUGCUUUAUUGGCUUUGUUGCUUGUGGGUAACUAUAAUAGUGGAGAUGCAUUAGAGUUGAUCCAGGGAACCUAUUUAUGUUAUGGUCUUGUUAAGAUCCAAGAUACAACUAAUAAAAGAAUCUCAAAUAGAUUCCCAACAGCCAGCAGGGGUUGCAUCUGAUUCUGCUCAGAGCAUCCACGCUACUGCGUCUGAAAGCAUGCCAAUGGAGGAGGACGUAGAUGGACGCAUAAAGAUACAUGUACCUUCCAAGUCGAAGCAAGAGAAAGAGGAGAUUAGGAAGAAGCUUGAAGAUCAGCUUAACGUGGUCAGAGAUCUGGUAAAGAAGAUAGAGGACAAAGAGGGGGAGAUUGGUGCGUAUAACGACUCUCGCCUUUUGGCUAGCACUGAUAUUAAUAACGGAGGAGGAAGGAUCCUUCCAGGGUUGGCAUCUGGUGGACUUCCGCGUGAGGUCAUUAGAACACCAAGGCAUUUAAAUCAACUAAGUAUAUCAGUGUUGGAGAAUACUCAAGGAGUCAAUGAGCAUGUGGAGAAAGAGAAGAGAACACCCAAGGCAAAUCAGUUUUAUAGAACUUCGGAGUUUUUACUUGGUGACAAGCUGCCACCCGCAGAGAGUAACAAGAAAUCAAAAUCAAGCGCAAAGAAGCACGGAGGGGAGGCUGGGCAUGGUUUUAGUGCAGGCUCUAAAGUUUUCAAGAAUUGCAGUGCUCUACUAGAGAGGCUGAUGAAGCAUAAACAUGGUUGGGUGUUCAAUGCUCCUGUAGAUGUGAAGGGUCUUGGUUUGCAUGAUUACUUCGCCAUUAUCGAACACCCUAUGGAUUUGGGAACGGUCAAGUCUGCGUUGGCAAAUAAUCUGUACAAGUCGCCAAGAGAGUUUGCAGAGGAUGUUAGGCUUACUUUCCACAAUGCCAUGACAUACAACCCACCAGGACAAGAUGUCCAUAUAAUGGCGGAAGUGCUGUUACAGAUGUUUGAGGAGAGGUGGGCUGUGAUAGAGGCAGAUUAUAAUCGUCAGCUGAGAUUUGCCGCUGGUUAUGAGAUGAAUCUUCCAGCUUCUACAAUGAGGUCUAGAUUGGGUCCUACAAUGCCGCCGCCGCCCAUCAGUGUGAGUAAUACAAUGGACUGGAGUGGUCUCCCUUCUGACUUGCAGCACCCAAAACCAACAACAACGCCUGGCAGAACACCGACCAGUGCAAGGACCCCUGCUCUGAAGAAGCCAAAGGCGAACGAACCGAAUAAAAGAGAUAUGACGUAUGAAGAGAAGCAGAAGCUUAGUGGCCAGUUGCAGAAUCUGCCUCCAGAGAAACUAGAUGCGAUUGUGCAGAUUGUUAACAAAAGGAACACUGCUGUGAAGCUACGGGAUGAAGAGAUUGAAGUCGAUAUUGAUAGUGUUGAUCCGGAGACCCUGUGGGAGCUGGACAGAUUUGUAACCAACUACAAAAAGGGAUUGAGCAAGAAGAAGAGAAGAGCUGAGCUAGCCAUUCAAGCUAAAGCAGAAGCUGAGAGAAAUAGCCAGAAACAGAUGGUACUUGUAUUCUUUUUUGUACUUUAAUUAAUUUGUAUGUUCAGCUUCAUAUAUAUUUUCCUUUAUUACAGGCUCCUGCACCGGUGGCACAUGAGUUUUCUAGGGAGGGUGGCAACACAGGUAAUUUUGUUAGUUCCACUUCCCUCUGUAUGGUGUGAACUACUUUGGGAUUAUAAUUGCUUCUGUUUUUUCAUCAGCUAAAAAGACGCUCCCUACACAAGUACCUUCUCAAGUGGACAAACAAAACAAUGAGACGAGCAGAUCAAGUAGUUCAAGCAGCUCUUCCAGUAGUUCCAGCUCUUCUAGUGGUACAAACUUUUCUUUUAGUUACCCAACUAAUGAAUUGCCUUGGUGCUGUUCUGAUUUUUUUGUUACUAAACGGCCUCUGUGGUUGGUUUGCAGAUUCGGACAGCGAUAGCUCUUCGUCAUCUGGAUCAUGAUCAGACCUAGAGAUUACUAUACAAGAGGGCUUGGUGGUGAAAAAUAUGUAAGGUCAUUCAAAGAUCUAUCUCUAUCAUCCAUUGUUAAUCUGUUAAUAAGAAGCUUUUGUUGACUGUUUACUAAAUAGCACGUGUGUUAAUGCAAUCCUUUUAAACGGGCAUCUUACAUGUCUCUGUUUUGGCAUGGUUGUAAUAUUUUUAUGUGAUUGGUCUUGUUCACAUCUGGUACAUAUUCCGGGUAGUUAGUGGGUUUUUGGAUUUAUUGUGCCUGAUUAUAACAAGAGCCUUGAUGCUGUGUGGUGAAACAGGGAGUUUAAAAAGAUGGAAGGUAGAGCUAGAAGAGCAUUAGGGAGGUUAAGGAUGAUGUGACGUACUGGCUUGAGGCGGUAAUAUUGGAGUGGUUUGGGGUGAUGGAAGGAAAGACUGUAUUAUAUACAUAUGACUGUUAGUAAAAAGAAAAAUCUAUUCUUAAUUUAUUUAUUUCGCUUUUAGAAUGGGUAGGAUUCUGUAGCGGUGGCUAUCUACGUUUUAGAUGUAACGGUAGGGUUGGUUUGGUUUGUCUCCGCACUUUUGUAUAUCUCUCUGCCUCUGGUCUUUGGCGGCUUUAGUUGGUUGACUGUUUCAUGCUUUUUAGUUUAGGGCUUUUGAAUCAGCAAAAAAAAGCAUCACAACAGAUUAUGGAUUCUUGAUGACUUGUGUGUAUUGUAAGGUUUUUGAAUUUUGUGACCACUUUGUAGCUUUGUUUUCUGCUUUGCUUCCACUAAAAGCACAUUCCCUCAUUCUUCUAUCUUUCUGAUUCGAUCUAACACAUCUACAGCAUCAUUUGUGUUGGGCUUUUGAGAGUUUUAUCUACGAUUCUUUAAUCAUCAAAUACAUGAACUGUUAGGGUUCUUUUUGUAAAAAAGUAAUAGUUUACGGAGUUUAUUGCAAUAUUUAACAAGAUUUAAGAGUGGAGUGGUGGUGAACCAUCAGGGAAGGAAAUGGUUAGAAUGUUGAGUCAUCUCCGUCCCUUUCCGACCAAUUCUCUGUCUCGUUCUCUCACUGUUCUCUCUUUUUCCCCGACACAGCAACACAAACUCUGGUCUGGUCUCGACACCUGGAGAAACAGCCCCAUCAACGACCUCCGUCUCUGGGGUCCCAACGGCCCUCUCCUCCCUUCCUCUAACUCCACCUCAUCCACCUCCCACGGCCUAGUCUCCGCAGCCCCUUCCCUCGCCGACCUCGGAGCUCUCGUCCUCUCAACCCCCGACCCUCUCUCCAAAUCCCACAUCUCACACUUAGCUUUCUCCCGUUGGCGCCGUGACAACAAUCUCCCCGUUGGCUCCAUCUCCAACCUCCCUUCUUCUCCCGCUCGCCCUCCCAAACCACUCCUCGUCUGUUCCUCAACUUCUUGUCUCUUUCUUUGAUAGUUUUGUCGGAAAAUUAAAUUCCUUUUUUUGCUUCACUCUCAAAGUUUGGAUUUUUAUAGUUUUAAUCAGCCAAUUUUAAUUAGUUUUUUUUUUUUAUUAUUAUUGCAGGUUCCGACCAACGAAGUCCCAAGUCCGAAAGACUCUGACCUUCCUCUCAACGCCUAUAUGCUUCACAACCUCGCUCACAUCGAGCUCAACGCUAUUGACUUGGCGUGGGACACUGUCGCUCGCUUCUCCCCUUUCUUCGACGUUUUGGGACGCAGGUUCUUCGAUGACUUCGCUCAUGUUGCUGAUGAUGAGAGUCGGCACUUCAUG
rnacentral:lncRNA from 1 species